GGCCAGUUGGCGUUGUGGUAAUGUAAUACCUGUAGUAUGUGUCGGCUUGCUCCCUGUAAAAUCUACAAUCCCCCCCAGGUGUAGUCUCGGGUUCGAUUCCCAAACUGGCCU